rnacentral:rRNA from 1 species
AGGAGUUUGAUCAUGGCUCAGAUUGAACGCUGGCGGCAUGCUUUACACAUGCAAGUCGAGUGGCAGCGCGGGGGCAACCCUGGCGGCGAGCGGCGGACGGGUGAGUAAUGCAUCGGAACGUAUCCCGUAGUGGGGGACAACCCAGCGAAAGCUGGGCUAAUACCGCAUAUGCUCUACGGAGGAAAGUGGGGGACCCGCAAGGGCCUCACGCUAUGGGAGCGGCCGAUGUCCGAUUAGCUAGUUGGUGGGGUAAAGGCCUACCAAGGCGACGAUCGGUAGCUGGUCUGAGAGGAUGAUCAGCCACACUGGGACUGAGACACGGCCCAGACUCCUACGGGAGGCAGCAGUGGGGAAUUUUGGACAAUGGGGGCAACCCUGAUCCAGCCAUGCCGCGUGCGGGAAGAAGGCCUUCGGGUUGUAAACCGCUUUUGUUCGGGAAGAAAAGGCACGUCCUAAUACGGCGUGUUCUUGACGGUACCGGAAGAAUAAGCACCGGCUAACUACGUG